CCGAGUUUAUACAACUCCUCAACUCCUGUGAACAUACCUAUAACGUUGCCUCGGCGGAAUCAGCCCGCGCCCCUGUAACAAAGGGACGCCCCGCCAGAGGACCCCUAAACUCUGUUUUUAUAAUGUACUUCUGAGUAAAACAAGCAAAUAAAUCA
rnacentral:misc_RNA from 1 species